CAGCCGCCACGGGAAUACGUAGGGUGCGAGCGUUGUCCGGAAUUACUGGGCGUAAAGAGCUCGUAGGCGGUUUGUCGCGUCGUCUGUGAAAUUCUGCAGCUUAACUGUAGGCGUGCAGGCGAUACGGGCAGACUUGAGUACUACAGGGGAGACUGGAAUUCCUGGUGUAGCGGUGAAAUGCGCAGAUAUCAGGAGGAACACCGGUGGCGAAGGCGGGUCUCUGGGUAGUAACUGACGCUGAGGGGCGAAAGCGUGGGUAGCGAACAGGAUUAGAGACCCCCGUAGUCCCUGUCUCUUAUAA
rnacentral:rRNA from 1 species